AUUGAACGCUGGCGGCAUGCCUUACACAUGCAAGUCGAACGGUAACAGGUCUUCGGAUGCUGACGAGUGGCGAACGGGUGAGUAAUACAUCGGAACGUGCCUAGUAGUGGGGGAUAACUACUCGAAGGAGUGGCUAAUACCGCAUGAGAUCUACGGAUGAAAGCAGGGGAUCGCAAGACCUUGUGCUACUAGAGCGGCCGAUGGCAGAUUAGGUAGGUGGUGGGAUAAAAGCUUAUCAAGCCGACGAUCUGUAGCUGGUCUGAGAGGACGUUCAGCCACCCUGGGCCUGGGACACGGCCCAGACUCGUACGGGAGGCAGCAGUGGGGAAUUUUGGACAAUGGGCGAAAGCCAGAUCCAGCAAUGCCGCGUGAAGGAUGAAGGCCUUCGGGUUGUAAACUGCUUUUGUACGGAACGAAAAGCCCUGGGUUAAUACCCUGGGGUCAUGACGGUACCGUAAGAAUAAGCACCGGCUAACUACGUGCCAGCAGCCGCAGUAA
rnacentral:rRNA from 1 species